UGGGGAAUUUUGGACAAUGGGCGAAAGCCUGAUCCAGCAAUGCCGCGUGUGUGAAGAAGGCCUUCGGGUUGUAAAGCACUUUUGUCCGGAAAGAAAUCCUUGUCUCUAAUACAGUCGGGGGAUGACGGUACCGGAAGAAUAAGCACCGGCUAACUACGUGCCAGCAGCCGCGGUAAUACGUAGGGUGCAAGCGUUAAUCGGAAUUACUGGGCGUAAAGCGUGCGCAGGCGGUUUGCUAAGACCGAUGUGAAAUCCCCGGGCUCAACCUGGGAACUGCAUUGGUGACUGGCAGGCUAGAGUAUGGCAGAGGGGGGUAGAAUUCCACGUGUAGCAGUGAAAUGCGUAGAGAUGUGGAGGAAUACCGAUGGCGAAGGCAGCCCCCUGGGCCAAUACUGACGCUCAUGCACGAAAGCGUGGGGAGCAAACAGGAUUAGAUACCCUGGUAGU
rnacentral:rRNA from 1 species